UGCUAAAAACAUAAAGGAAUUACCAAAAAUAAGAUGGGCCUUGAUGGCAUCUGUAGCCCACUAGGGCGCACAAACUGCAAAGAAAAGAAAAAGAGAACCGAAGCCCAAAAGGCCCAAAAGGGCUCCGCCUACCUCGGGUAAUCCGAACUCGAAGCGGGUCCAAUAAAACCCUUCUCAUUUUACCAGUAAAUGUGAAGGAGACAAUGGCUCCCCAACUCCAACGGUAAGUAAUAACUAGGGGGAAAACCAAAGCGGUGACUUGCCUUAGGCAGUGAGAAAAGUAUUCUCAUUAAUGGCCAACGAACAUACUCUUAACAAGGAAUGAAGCAAGGAUCUAGAACGUGGUAAAGGCGCUUAUGUUUGCCUCCGCCUCUCCCUCUCCCAAUGAAAUAAACUACUUCCUUUCUUUCUUAUAUCAAAAUGUUUAUCUCUUCUUAUUCCUCGUGAGAAAGAGGCGUACAAAAAAUGAGAAGGAAAUAAAUUCGAAAACCAAGCUCAAUCAAAAGACAAACACACGCACCAUAAACUUAAGUAAAAGGUCAUAGAAACAGGAGCUAUAAAACAACAUGGAUUCGGUUCAACACAUCAAUGAGGAGUAAUGAAUCCAGAUCUACAAAAAGGGAGCUCAUAGAAGGAGAUAAGAAUGAAUCUCUUACCCAAACUGAGGUUCUGGAAAAAAAAUAGCUCCGAGUUCAGCGGAUCUUCUGGAUUCCGGCAAAUGUCCUAUCCCCGUGAGCGACUCUGUGGUGAGGCGAAGGUAAGUGGUCCCUCUUCCAGGUGUGGUGAAAUGAGUUGGCGAAAUCCAUUAGCCGUUAGGUAAAGAUCUUCUAUUCGAUUUGUGGGGACCAAUUAUUUGCUCCAGAUUUUGUUAAGCAAGAAAUUCUUUCUGUCUGUUGUGAGUGAGUGUUUUUCUGUCUGUAGCGACGCAUUUUCAUCCAUUUAAAACUCAAGUGGUCCCUUUAAUCUGGUAUGACAUCACAUUGAAAAUUUAUUUUUGUAUGCGUGUGAUAUGGUUCUAAUGUGUGUGGCUGUUUUUCAAAAGCAGCUUAAACCUUCUAGCUUGGGAGACUCGGCUGGUGAACUUUCAUGAAUUACAUUACAAUUGUUGCACAGAAGAACUUCCAUGGUGGUAUCUAAGAUGGACCUUUGCACUGCAACUUUUUCUUUCUAUUGUUAUCCUUUUUGGUGUGAUUGGUAUUGGUUUUAUGCAGGUGUGAAUGUAAUAACUUGUGAUGUUGUAGUUGGUCCAGGUUCAUGGUUAUCAAGAUAACCUGAAAUAUGGCGGCAUGAAUGGUUGUGGACCAGGGUCUGGUUAUGUAUCAUGAUGUUGUAACAUGUGUGUACCUGUUUUAAGCCUGAACUCUUUUAGCUGCGGAUUCAAACAUUGCAUAUUUAGUGUUCCUACAGGUCAUUUAUCUGAUGUGAUAAUGAUAUUUGACUCCACAACUAUUUUAACUGCUAUGAAUUUGAUUCAACCUCACUAGCUUUGCUUUGUCUAAGGGAUUUGAUCAUGAUUGCUUUCCACUGAUGUACUUUGAAAUCUUGUGAAUACUGGUGCAGGUACAUGAAACUUUGAUACAGGAUUUCCGAGUCCUGGCUUUCGUUUCAAUGAGGUGAUAUGUAUUGUCCUGUCGCCGGUUCACAUGACGGGUCUGAUUCCUCAAAACAAACUAUAGGGCAUGUUUGUUUAGCUUGUGGAAUUUUGACUUGGACGGUAAUGCAGGCUGGACUGUUGAAGAAGUUCCUUUUGGUAACAGAGUUGCUUUUGCUGGUUUUGCAUAUGUCAUAGUUCUUUAAUAGCGUCAAUUGUUGCUCUGCAGGUUCACAAUUGAUUAAGAUAACGCAAAUCACGGCAGCAUCCUGAAAUGGCUUAGAAUUCUGUCCUGCAUAGAAUCUAAGUUUCACGUGUCGUGCUACAAUUUGGUAGGUCCUCUACAACUGGUGAUUCUCAAGGUCAUGUAUGUGUUCGGCUUUCCAAGUCCAUGCCUGCGUAUAUUCUGCAAUAAGUUAUGUUUAGAUUUGGUUUGAAGUGUUGUAAUGUUUGGUCUCCCUGUAUUCUAAAGCUUUUCAUGGUUGUGGUUUGAGCUUCUCUGUGACUGCUGCCGGCAUUUGCUGGUAUUGAUUCUAAUCUUGGACUGUUAAGGACGUCGAUUUUAGCUUGGCAUUUUGUUGUUGCAGGUUCUACAGGUGUUGCAUCGUUAGUAUGCAUGGUUCUUGAUGCUAACCAAAUGGCCCUGCAGUGGAUUUCUAUCCUGCAAUGUGGUCGGUUAUUCGUGGCUGCCACUUUAGAGUUUUUGAAGGAGUGUUGAUGCAUCAACGACAACGUUGGUUAACAAGGUAGUUGGCUCAAGUUAAAGACACACUUGCAGGUUAUAAGUCGGUUGUGAUUUACCCUUUCAGAACAACCGGUAAGGUUGUACAUACCACAUGUAACAUAGUUUUAGCAAUGUACGUUUCCUGUUCGUACUUGGAACUGCUGUGAGUUAUGAUUUGACCAGGGCCACUUUGUUGCAGGUCCUUUUAAAACUUGUAGCUUUCCCUAUGCUUCUUUGCACUUUUAUCCUUGCGCACCUGUAUUCACAUUCGCAUUAUCGGUGUGGUACUGCUAGCUCUUGGAUCUAUAGGUCACCGCAUGAUACGGGAGAGAAGCUUAUACUGUCUUGUGGAAACUAAUGCAAGGAAUGGCCUGAGAAACUGAUGUGGAAUUAUUCAGGUAUUAUGAGACUUAUGCCAUGCGUGUUCCUCGGCUCAUUUGUGGUGUGCCUGCUCUUCUGCAUAUGGUUCUGGUGUAAACAAAAAUGGUUCUAUAGUAAGCUCCUCCUGCACUGUUUAUCGGUUAUCAGAGGUUGAGGGUUUGUUUACGACACUGCAUAUCUCUCGCAUUGACGACCACUGACUAUGUUCAGACUUUUCUUAUCCUGCUUCUUUUGUUUGUAACAUGUAGCGACUUAGGUUGUGUUAUCAACCCAUUUGGCCGUGCUUAAACAUGUACUUGCAUAACGAUUUGAAAAUGUGCUUAAACAUUUGUAUGCUGUAAUGUUAGUUUGAAAAAUGA